rnacentral:rRNA from 1 species
GACGAACGCUGGCGGCGUGCUUAACACAUGCAAGUCGAACGGAAAGGCCCUGCUUUUGUGGGGGGCUCGAGUGGCGAACGGGUGAGUAACACGUGAGUAACCUGCCCUUGACUUUGGGAUAACUUCAGGAAACUGGGGCUAAUACCGGAUAGGAGCUCCUGCUGCAUGGUGGGGGUUGGAAAGUUUCGGCGGUUGGGGAUGGACUCGCGGCUUAUCAGCUCGUUGGUGGGGUAGUGGCUUACCAAGGCUUUGACGGGUAGCCGGCAUGAGAGGGUGACCGGCCACAUUGGGACUGAGAUAGGGACCAGGCUCAUACGGGAGGCAGCAGUGGGGAUUAUUGCACAAUGGGCGGAAGUCUGAUGCAGAAACGCCGCGUGCGGGAUGACGGCCUUCGGGUUGUAAACCGCUUUCGCCUGUGACGAAGCGUGAGUGACGGUAAUGGGUAAAGAAGCAACGGCUAACUACGUG